GUCUUUUUGGUAUUUAAUAUAAAGUCUGACCUGCCCACUGAAUAUAGUUUGAAGGGCCGCAGUAUUUUGACUGUGCAAAGGUAGCAUAAUCAUUAGUCUUUUAAUUGAAGGCUGGUAUGAAUGGUUGGAUGAGAUACAAGCUGUGUCAUAUAAAUUAAUAUUUGAAUUUAACUUUUUAGUCAAAAGGCUAAAAUAAUUUUAAAAGACGAGAAGACCCCAUAGAGCUUUAUAUAAUAAAUAUUUAAUUUAUUAAGAUUUAUCAAAUUUAGUUAUUUUAUUAUAUUUUGUUGGGGUGACAAUAAAAUUUAUAAAACUUUUAUUUUUAUUUAACAUUAAUUUAUGAUUAAAUGAUCCAGUUUUAUUGAUUAUAAAUUUAAGUUACCUUGGGGAUAACAGCGUAAUUUUUUUUGAGAGUUCUUAUCGACAAAAAAGAUUGCGACCUCGAUGUUGGAUUAAGAGUAAUUUUGGGUGUAGAAGUUCAAAGUUUAAGUCUGUUCGACUUUUAAAUUCUUACAU
rnacentral:rRNA from 1 species